UAGGGAAUCUUCGGCAAUGGACGAAAGUCUGACCGAGCAACGCCGCGUGAGUGAAGAAGGUUUUCGGAUCGUAAAACUCUGUUGUUAGAGAAGAACAAGGACGUUAGUAACUGGACGUCCCCUGACGGUAUCUAACCAGAAAGCCACGGCUAACUACGUGCCAGCAGCCGCGGUAAUACGUAGGUGGCAAGCGUUGUCCGGAUUUAUUGGGCGUAAAGCGAGCGCAGGCGGUUUCUUAAGUCUGAUGUGAAAGCCCCCGGCUCAACCGGGGAGGGUCAUUGGCAACUGGGAGACUUGAGUGCAGAAGAGGAGAGUGGAAUUCCAUGUGUAGCGGUGAAAUGCGUAGAUAUAUGGAGGAACACCAGUGGCGAAGGCGGCUCUCUGGUCUGUAACUGACGCUGAGGCUCGAAAGCGUGGGGAGCAAACAGG
rnacentral:rRNA from 1 species